rnacentral:rRNA from 1 species
UAUUAUUUAAAAUGUAAUUGUAAUUAUUUAAGUAGUAAUAGUUAUGUUCUUGAAACUUAAAAAAUUUGGCGGUAUUUUAGUCUAUCCAGAGGAACCUGUUUUGUAAUCGAUAAUCCACGAUGGACCUUACUUAAAUUUGUAACCAGUUUAUAUACCGUCGUUAUCAGAAUAUUUUAUAAGAAUAAUAAUAUUCAAUAAUUUUGAUUAAAAUUUAUAUCAGAUCAAGGUGUAGCUUAUAUUUUAGUAAUAAUGGGUUACAAUAAAUUUAUUUAUACGGAUAAAAUUAUGAAAAAAUUUUUGAAGGUGGAUUUGGUAGUAAAAUUAUAAAGAUAAAUAAUUUGAUUUUAGCUCUAAAAUAUGUACACAUCGCCCGUCGCUCUUAUUAUUAAGGUAAGAUAAGUCGUAACAUAGUAGAUGUACUGGAAAGUGUAUCUAGAAUGA